UACGGAGGGUGCAAGCGUUGUCCGGAUUUAUUGGGUUUAAAGGGUGCGUAGGUGGCCCCUUAAGUCAGCGGUGAAAGCCCGGGGCUCAACCCCGGAACCGCCGUUGAUACUGGGGGGCUUGAGUAUGGACGAGGUUGGCGGAAUUGAGGGUGUAGCGGUGAAAUGCUUAGAUACCCUCAAGAACACCGAUUGCGUAGGCAGCUAACUAGGCCAUAACUGACGCUGAGGCACGAAAGCGUGGGGAGCGAACAGG
rnacentral:rRNA from 1 species